ACCGAGCACCAAGGCCCAGGGGCGUGAACAGUGCGCCCCGGCACUUGGAUCCCUAGCUGGGCUGCCAUCAGCUCCCUGCAUGGCCUUAGCAAGCUGCUUGAACUUUCUGAGCGUCUGUCUCCUCAUCUCGCUGGAGAAAAUCCAAGAUGCAUGAGAGAAGGAGAACAGUGUGGUGAAAAUACAUUGGAGUUUGAUGAAAAUUUGCUUUCCUUGCGAGGCAAUUGAUUAGAUCACGCCUGUCUAUCGAAAGGGAUCAGCUCAGUUCAGAAGUAACAGCACAUCCUAUUUCUCAACCUGAGCUGCACCUCCAUGGCUUCCAGUUUGGUUUGUUUGGCCUUGAGGCCUGUGGGAUCCUAGCUCCCCCAACAGGGAUCAAACCCACACCGUCUUUGUUGGAGGGCAAAGUCUUAACCACUGGACCGCCAGGGAAGUCCCAAGUGUGUUUUAAAGAGUUAGUCUUCAGGUCACAUGGAUGCCCUCCCCACCCGCUCCGUGUUCAAGAGAGAACCUGGAC
ensembl:lncRNA